GGGGGUGCACCGGAUUCGACUGCUGUGUCGAAGCUUGGGCUGCAGGUGAGGUUGCCUGUCCUCUGAACGGGCAAAACUUAUAACUGCCGAAAAUAACGACAGUUUCGCUCUCGCUGCGUAAGUAGCAGAGCGCGGAAACCGGAUGAUGCUGCUCCGAAGCAUCCGGAUCUUCCGACGCCAACCGGAGCUUGCUUUCCGUCGGGCCUGAACGGCGGAAAGGACAUCAACCAGGAUACGGAACCGACGCUUGCGGUGCUGCCACCGGGUCCCGACAACCACCUCGCGCCGCUAAACCUGUAGACGCUCCUGUUUUACACUUCAGGACGGGGGUUCGACUCCCCCCAUCUCCA
rnacentral:tmRNA from 1 species